GAUGAACGCUGGCGGCGUGCCUAAUACAUGCCAGUCGAGCGAACGGACGAGAAGCUUGCUUCUCUGAUGUUAGCGGCGGACGGGUGAGUAACACGUGGAUAACCUACCUAUAAGACUGGGAUAACUUCGGGAAACCGUAGCUAAUACCGGAUAAUAUUUUGAACCGCAUGGUUCAAAAGUGAAAGACGGUCUUGCUGUCACUUAUAGAUGGAUCCGCGCUGCAUUAGCUAGUUGGUAAGGUAACGGCUUACCAAGGCAACGAUGCAUAGCCGACCUGAGAGGGUGAUCGGCCACACUGGAACUGAGACACGGUCCAGACUCCUACGGGAGGCCGCAGUAGGGAAUCUUCCGCAAUGGGCGAAAGCCUGACGGAGCAACGCCGCGUGAGUGAUGAAGGUCUUCGGAUCGUAAAACUCUGUUAUUAGGGAAGAACAUAUGUGUAAGUAAAUGUGCACAUCUUGACGGUACCUAAUCAGAAAGCCACGGCUAACUACGUG
rnacentral:rRNA from 1 species